AUUGAACGCUGGCGGCAUGCUUUACACAUGCAAGUCGAACGGUAACAGGCCGCAAGGUGCUGACGAGUGGCGAACGGGUGAGUAAUGCAUCGGAACGUGCCCAGUCGUGGGGGAUAACGCAGCGAAAGCUGCGCUAAUACCGCAUACGAUCUAUGGAUGAAAGCGGGGGACCGUAAGGCCUCGCGCGGUUGGAGCGGCCGAUGUCAGAUUAGGGAGUUGGUGGGGUAAAGGCUCACCAAGCCAACGAACUGUAGCUGGUCUGAGAGGACGACCAGCCACACUGGGACUGAGACACGGCCCAGACUCCUACGGGAGGCAGCAGUGGGGAAUUUUGGACAAUGGGCGCAAGCCUGAUCCAGCAAUGCCGCGUGCAGGAAGAAGGCCUUCGGGUUGUAAACUGCUUUUGUACGGAACGAAACGGUCCUGGUUAAUACCCGGGGCUAAUGACGGUACCGUAAGAAUAAGCACCGGCUAACUACGUGCCAGCCGCCGCGGUAACAC
rnacentral:rRNA from 1 species